rnacentral:antisense_RNA from 1 species
CACCGACAUCAGCGAUUCGUUCUGCGAGCCUUGUCCUACCGCCAGAUACGCGUUCAUGCCCAGCUCUUUCAUCUGCUGUUCGCCGAUGACGCGGGUGGUGACCUGGCUGUAGCCGUCGGCCAACUGGCGCGCCUGCGAGGCCAGAUAGGCGGCGUUACAGAUGUUAGGCGGCAUGUUGCCCAGAUCUUUAGC